UGCAGUCGUACGAGAGUUUUGAACUCAAGUGGCGGACGGGUGAGUAACACGUAAGAAUUUGCCUUUAGGAGGGGGACAACAACUGGAAACGGUUGCUAAUACCCCAUAUGCUUUCGAGUGAAACGGUUUUUCCGCCUAAAGAGAAGCUUGCGGCUGAUUAGCUUGCUGGUAAGGUAAUGGCUUACCAAGGCGACGAUCAGUAUCUGGUUUGAGAGGACGAUCAGACACACUGGAACUGAGACACGGUCCAGACUCCUACGGGAGGCAGCAGUGGGGAAUUUUCCGCAAUGGGCGAAAGCCUGACGGAGCAAUACCGCGUGAGGGAUGAAUGCCUAUGGGUUGUAAACCUCUUUUUUCAGGGAGGAAUCAAUGACGUUACCUGAAGAAUAAGCAUCGGCUAACUCCGUGCCAGCAGCCGCGGUAAUACG
rnacentral:rRNA from 1 species